rnacentral:lncRNA from 1 species
UGGCUAAUUUUUAUAUUAUCAGUAGAGACAGAGUUUCACCAUGUUGGCCAGGCUGGUCUCAAACUCCUGACCUCAGUUGAUCCACCUGCUUUGGCCUCCCAAAGUGCUGGGAUUACAGCUGCGAGCCACCGCACCCAGCCAGAGAAUUCUUAAAAUGCAGAUAACUGGUAAGGGUCUUGGGGAGGAGCUACCCAAACUCAUUUCUCCCCUUAGCCACCAAAGAACAGGGAUGAGUGAGUCUGGAGAGUUUUUUCCUAACACCAAAUACAUGGUAUUGUCAGAGGCGUUUGAAUCAGAGAGACUCCAUCUUGAAUAGGAGCUGGGUAAAAUAAGGCUGAGACCUGCUGGGCUGCUUUCCCAGGAGGUUAGGCAUUCUAAGUCACAGAGUGAGACAGGAGGUCGGUACAAGGUAUAGGCCACAAAGACCUUGCUGAUAAAAUAGGUUGCAGUAAAGAAGCCUGCCAAAACCCACCAAAACUAAGAUGGCAACAGAAGUGACCUCUAGUUAUCCUCACUGCUCAUGAUAUGCUAAUUAUAAUGCAUUAACAUGCUAAAAGACACUCCCACCAGCACCAUGACACUUUACAAAUGCCAUCAUAAUGUCAAGAAGUUACCCUAUAUGAUCUAAGAAGGGGAAGAACCCUCAAUUCCAGGAACUGCUGACCCCUUUCCCGUAAAACUCAUGAAUAAUCCACCCCUUGUUUAGCAAAUAAUCAAGAAAUAAUGAAAAAAAUAGCCAACCAGCAGCCCUUGGGGCUGUUCUGCCUAUGGAGCAGCCACUCUUUUAUUCCUUUACUUUCUUAAUAAAUUUGCUUUCACUUUACUCUAUGGACUCACCCUGAAUUCUUUCUUGCACGAGGUCCAAGAACCCUCUUUUGGGGUUUGGAUUGGGACCUCUUUCCGGUAACAGUAUCUUUUCCAACACCAACAAAUUCUCCAACACCAACUAGGUGUUCACAAAUUAAUUCACUUCUGACACUCCUGAGUUAGAACUGUAAACCAAAAGUAUCUGAAACAAGUCUCAAUUUUGGAGUUUAUUUUGCCAAGGUUAAGGACAUGCCUGUGGCACAGUCUCAGGGGAGGCCCUGAUGACGUGGGCCCAAGGUGGUCGGCCUAUAACUUGAUUUUAUACAUUUUAGGGGGACAUAAGACAUCAAUCAAUACAUGUAAGAUGUACAAUGGUUGAGUUCAGAAAGAUGGGAGGGGCUUCCAGAUCACAGGUGGAUUCAAAGAUUUUUUGAUUGGCAAUUGGUUAUUAUCUAAAGAUCUGGAAUCAGUAGAAAGGAAUGUCUGGGUUAGGUAAGGGGUUGUGGAGACCAAGGUUUCAUCAUGCAGAUGAAGCCUCCACUUUAGCAGGCUUCAGAGAGAAGAGGUUGUAAAUGCUUAUCAGCUUAAGGUCUAUGUUAGUGCUAAUGUCCAAUUCCCCCUUUCCAUCAUGGCCUAAACUAGUUUUACAGGUUAACCUUGGAACGCCUUUGGCCAAGAGGAGGGGUCCAUUCAGAUGGGUGGGGGCUUAGAAUUUUAUUUCUGGUUUACAGCACAGACCUCACAGGUUAAGGGCUCAGUCCCACAAGACCCUGCUCUCACUUCAGAUACAAGCGCAAAUUCCAGGGGUCACUCACACUUCUGACUGAUUGGCUAUACAAAUUUUAGUGUUCCACAAUCGCCCCUCAAGUUGGAUAACUCACUAGAAUGACUCUCAGAACUCAGGAAAGCAUUUUGCUUACUGUUGUAAACCCAAAAUAAAAUUCUAAAUCCCCCAACUGAUGGAAUGGAGCCCCUGUCUCAGCCAAGGAGAUUCCAAAGAAACCUGGAAAACUAGUUCAGGUUAAAUUUUAGGAGUGCCCUGGCCAAGGAGGAAGCUCAUUUAGAUGGUUGUGGUGCGGGGGUGGGGGAUGAGGGGAGCUUAGAAUUUUAUUUUUGGUUUACAUUCU